AUAGGAUAAAGGUGUCGAUUCAUGUGAAAAUGCUGAUAGUUAAAUCCAAUUCACACUAUGGCCUUAUCCUAGAAUAAUGAACAGGAACUCUGUGCAAUGGCAUCGAAGCCUGUGGCAUUGCAUCGUUCUUCCUGCAACAUCA